AUUCCUUCGCUUAAGUGUCGCUUUUUGGCUAAGAUCAAGUGUAAUAUCUGUUCUUAUCAGUUUAAUAUCUGAUACGUUUUCUAUCCGGGAGCCAUAUAUUAAAUUGAUUUUUGGAAUAGGGAAAUGGAAUAAAAGCUUGCUUCGUCUACUUCAUGCAUUGACUCAGUAUUGCAGUACUUCUUGGAACAGUGCAUCUCUU